rnacentral:rRNA from 1 species
ACAUGCCUACAACAUAGUGUUAAUGCAUCGGAUCCCAUUAGAACUCCACAGUUAUGCGCGCUCGAGCUAGAGUAUCACUGGGAUGGGUGACCUCUCGAGAAGUCCUAGUAUUUUACAUGCC